GGUUAGUGCAAAAGUAAUUGCGGUUUUUGCCAUUAAAGUGGUGGCAAAAACUGCAAUUACUUUUGCACCAACCUAA
rnacentral:miRNA from 1 species